rnacentral:rRNA from 1 species
GCUUGUCUCAAAGAUUAAGCCAUGCAUGUCUAAGUAUAAAUGUUAUACAGUGAAACUGCGAAUGGCUCAUUAAAACAGUUAUAGUUUAUUUGAUAAUCGAAUUUACAUGGAUAACCGUGGUAAUUCUAGAGCUAAUACAUGCUGUUAAGCCUGACUUCUCGGAAGGGCUGUAUUUAUUAGAUGGAAACCAAUGCGGGGCAACCCGGAAUAUGGUGAAUCAUAAUAACUGUCGUAUCGAGCAAUCGAAGCGCCAUACAAGUUUCUGCCCUAUCAGCUUUGGAUGGUAGGGUAUUGGCCUACCAUGGCUUUAACGGGUAACGGAGAAUUAGGGUUCGAUUCCGGAGAGGGAGCCUGAGAAAUGGCUACCACAUCCAAGGAAGGCAGCAGG